rnacentral:rRNA from 1 species
UACGUAGGGUGCGAGCGUUAAUCGGAAUUACUGGGCGUAAAGCGUGCGCAGGCGGUUUUGUAAGACAGAUGUGAAAUCCCCGGGCUUAACCUGGGAACUGCAUUUGUGACUGCAAGGCUAGAGUACGGCAGAGGGGGGUAGAAUUCCACGUGUAGCAGUGAAAUGCGUAGAUAUGUGGAGGAACACCUGUGGUGUAGACAGCUUACUGGACCACUUCUGACGCUGAGACACGAAAGCGUGGGUAGCAAACAGG